CCCCUCUCAGGAUCACACCUGGAGAGUUUCCAGUACUCUACCAGUCUCGGCUACAGGUGGGAGAGUCAAACAGAGGCCUACCCGUUCCAUUCGUAGCUUGGGCAGUGGCUAGCGAGUGGAAGGUAAUCUGCUAUAAGU